GCCAGACUCUCUGUUCGUCAUCAGUUGAUAACCCAAUAGAAGCACUAGAGGUGUGGUUAUCUUCCAGAUCGCAAUUUAGUUAUUUGGUCUAUAGAGGGCAGUCUUGUCCCACUAAACAUACCUAUCCAGGAAAGAGUUAACUUUUCCUGGUGGCUAUUUUGACGUCAUUUUGCGUUAUCUUUAUAUUGCCAUAACUUAAAAUUUCAAAGGGUUUUCUCUUAGUUUUGUUCAGACUUAGUGUCUGCAAUUCCUGCUAUAAUUUCUAAAAUGGCAGAUCAUGAACUAAGUUUAACCUUUUCCGUACAAUGGUACCUUAUAUAUAUAUAGACAGUAAAAUUAAAUUAUUUAAUCUUCUCUGUCACAAAUGUCUGGGUUUAGAAUUGAUUAUAUUCCAUUAGCAUUUUAGACAGUCUAUCCAACCCCCCUUUCUGCUUAUCAUUUGGUUUGUAUAUACUAUGCAUUCCUUUAGCUCUGG